ACACCAUGAAACACGUGCUGUGCUGGAAACCCACCGCUAGUUUUUCUUCCUGUUCUUCUGCUUUCUGCACAUCUACAUCCCAUUGCUGAAAUAAAGUCAGGAACUGCUGGGAGAACUCAUGAUUGAGCUUCUGCCUAUAAAAAGAUAUUAGCUCUUUUACUGCUCCUUUAUUUUGGGGGGUUCACAUUCUUCCUGAAGUACUCUUAACCCUGCCAGCAUUACGACUCCAACUACCUUACCUGACUCAGCACUCCAUGGACCUUUCUUUGUACUGAACGUCAGUACACAAAGCAGAACUCGUUUGUCCCUCCAGACACUGCAAAGCGAUCUUGCCACCUCACAACCUCCAACAGCCUCCACCCACCCUGUGUAGCUUACCUGCUU